rnacentral:rRNA from 1 species
GUGGGGAAUAUUCCGCAAUGGACGAAAGUCUGACGGAGCAACGCCGCGUGAGUGAUGAAGGUUUUCGGACUGUAAAGCUCUGUUGUUUGGGACGAAAGUGCCUGUUGCGAACAGUUACGGGUAUUGACGGUACUAAACGAGGAAGCCACGGCUAACUACGUGCCAGCAGCCGCGGUAAUACGUAGGUGGCAAGCGUUGUCCGGAAUUAUUGGGCGUAAAGAGCAUGUAGGCGGGAAUCUAAGUCUGUUGUGAAAAUGCGGGGCUCAACCCCGUAUUGCGAUGGAAACUGGGUUUCUUGAGUGCAGGAGAGGAAAGGGGAAUUCCCAGUGUAGCGGUGAAAUGCGUAGAUAUUGGGAGGAACACCAGUGGCGAAGGCGCCUUUCUGGACUGUGUCUGACGCUGAGAUGCGAAAGCCAGGGUAGCGAACGGGAUUAGAUACCCUUGUAGUCC